rnacentral:lncRNA from 1 species
AUUUUGCCAUGUUGAAUUUGGCUUUUAAUGUCUUUAUCUUGUAAUAUAUUUGCAUGUACAUAAAGAGUACAAGGUGCAUGGAUGACUAGCAGCUUCUACGGGUGGUGUGGAUGUCCAAGUAGAACAGCUCCAACCGAAAGUUGGAAGAAGCAUACUUCAAGUGGAACAAAAUGGAUGUUUCCUCUCAUGUGAUGUUGUUUGUUAUGUUCUGUUGGGUUGUGGAUUGAUGAAAAUUUGACUAUUGCAAGCUAUUAUAUGCCCAUUUAAUUUGUUACAAGUAUUAUCUAUUGUAAUGUGAAUAUCUUUUUGUUGGAUAGAAGAUGAGUUGAAG